ACGCUGGCGGCGUGCCUAAUACAUGCAAGUAGAACGCUGAAGGGAGAGCUUGCUUCUCCGGAUGAGUUGCGAACGGGUGAGUAACGCGUAGGUAACCUGCCUGGUAGCGGGGGAUAACUAUUGGAAACGAUAGCUAAUACCGCAUAAUAGUAGAUGUUGCAUGACAUUUGCUUGAAAGGUGCAAUUGCAUCACUACCAGAUGGACCUGCGUUGUAUUAGCUAGUUGGUGGGGUAACGGCUCACCAAGGCGACGAUACAUAGCCGACCUGAGAGGGUGAUCGGCCACACUGGGACUGAGACACGGCCCAGACUCCUACGGGAGGCAGCAGUAGGGAAUCUUCGGCAAUGGACGGAAGUCUGACCGAGCAACGCCGCGUGAGUGAAGAAGGUUUUCGGAUCGUAAAGCUCUGUUGUAAGAGAAGAACGAGUGUGAGAGUGGAAAGUUCACACUGUGACGGUAUCUUACCAGAAAGGGACGGCUAACUACGUGCCAGCAGCCGCGGUAAUACGUAGGUCCCGAGCGUUGUCCGGAUUUAUUGGGCGUAAAGCGAGCGCAGGCGGUUAGAUAAGUCUGAAGUUAAAGGCUGUGGCUUAACCAUAGUACGCUUUGGAAACUGUUUAACUUGAGUGCAAGAGGGGAGAGUGGAAUUCAUGUGUAGCGGUGAAAUGCGUAGAUAUAUGGAGGAACACCGGUGGCGAAAGCGGCUCUCUGGCUUGUAACUGACGCUGAGGCUCGAAAGCGUGGGGAGCAAACAGGUUUAGAUACCCUGGUAGUCCACGCCGUAAACGAUGAGUGCUAGGUGUUAGACCCUUUCCGGGGUUUAGUGCCGCAGCUAACGCAUUAAGCACUCCGCCUGGGGAGUACGACCGCAAGGUUGAAACUCAAAGGAAUUGACGGGGGC
rnacentral:rRNA from 1 species